CGGUGGCCACACCAGGAUCGCCGUCGGCCUGCAGGACUAGGCCUUCCUGUCCUUGGAUGCACGGAGGUUGUCCGGGUCCCCGGAAGUGUGGUCCCUGGUGCGCACGCUGGGGACGUCUGUCGUGAAGACGGGCAGCCAACCUCUGGACAGCCGAUAGGCUUCGGGGUGCCUCUCUCUGGCACUGAGGUCCCUGACCGGUAUGCUCCUGGCGUCUACGUCCCCGAGGAGGGGCACUCCGUGGGCGUCCUCCAGUUCUCAGGUGCAGUGGCCACGACAGGCUCAUCGUCGGCCCACAGGACUAGCCUUUCCAUCCUUGGAUGCAUGGCCGUUGUCCAGGUUCGCGGGAAAAGUGUGGUCCCUGGUGGGCAUGCUGCGGACGUCCGAUCACGAAGACGGCGGCCCAGAAUGUGUUCGGAUCGAUGAUGACUCCCUCAUUCUGCAUUCCUUGGAAAAGCUGAACAAAAUGAGUGAGAACUCCCUACCGUCGUUCUCAUCGAAACUGAGGUCCGGCACGUUGUCUCCCCCAGGGCAGGUGCGGUGGCCACGCCAGGCUCACCAUCGGACUGCAGGACUAGGCCUUCCUGUCCUUGGAUACACGGAGGUUAGCCUGGUCCCCAGAGGAAGUGUGGUCCUGUGUGGGCACGCAGCGUUCAUCGGAUCGUGAAGACAGUAAGCCUUCCAUUGUCUCAGGCACACCCAUUGGCUGUAGGAUUUCCUGCGCCCACCUGAGAGGUUGGCUUUCCACCUGUGCCUACUGGCACGCCGGGUCUGGCUCCAAGAGAGGAUUGACCAUUCCUUUUGCUCACUGGCGUGGCUCUGGUUGGCCCAGGCUGCUGGAGGGCUCUGAGGCCAUCGACUUACCCCUCUGAGCCACGCAGACUGCCUCAUUCAAUUUGCCAGGCGGCCCAGAAUGUGCUCGGAUCAAUGAUGACUCCCUCAUUCUGCAUUCCUUGGAAAAGCUGAACAAAAUGAGUGAGAACUCCCUGCCGUCAUUCUCAUCGAAACUGAGGUCCGGCACAUUGUCUCCCCCAGGGCAGGUGUGGUGGCCACACCAGGCUCACCGUCGGCCUGCAGGACUAGGCCUUCCUGUCAUUGGAUGUGCGGAGGUUGGCGGGGUCCCGGAGAAGUGUGGUCCCGGGUGGGCACGCUGCGGACGUUGGAUCACGAAGACGAUGCGGUGGCCACGCCAGGAUCGCCGUCGGCCCGCAAGACUAGCCCUUCCUGUCCUUGGACGCGUGGAGGUUGGCCAGGCCCGGAAGAAGUGUGGACCCAGGUGGCACGCUGCAAACCUCGGAUCGUAAAGAUGGUGGAGUUGGCAUGACGCUGGUGUCCUUGAAUGUCUGCAAGCCCCAUUCUGCCUGAUCCACCAAGCCCUGCGUGCCAGGAGAGAGCCCCCCGGGAGACGCGGGCUCUGAUGGCUGCAGUCACGUGGCAGUCGCCAGCGUAAGCAGUGGAGUUGGCUGGACGCCAGUGUUCAUGACCCUCGGUGAGCCCGCAUUCUGCCUGAUCCUCCAAGCCCGGCCUGCCAGGCGAGGACGUGCCAGGAGACGCGGGCUGUGUUGGCUGCGGUCACGUGGCAGUCGCCGGUGUAAGCGGAUUGGGCCAUGACGCAGGCCUCCGUGGGUGACACUGGAACGCAGGCUGACACGCCAGUGGCCUGAGAGAAUGAGGCACAGGAGGAGCCCCGAGAUCAUAGGGAGAGGCAGAGCUGCAUAUUCCCACCACGUGGCACUGCCAGCGAUCCCCACAUGCCCCUCCGCGAUGCAGAGGUGCACCUGUCUCUCCUCCCCACUUCCCAGGUGGAUUUGGCUUGAUGCCUGUGACUGUGACUGUCGGCGAGCACCAUUCUGCCUGCUCCGCCAAGCCCUGCGUGCCAGGCAGAGCGCCCCAGGAGAUGCGGGCUGUGUUGGCUGUGGUCACAUGGCAGUCACCAGCGUCAAUGUAAACUAAAACUUGGUUUCAUAUGAAUAAAAAAUUAUCCCUUCCUCUUGAAAUGUGACAAGGAAGAAAAUAUUGGGACUAAUUCCACCAUCUUAUUCCUCAAGAUCCAGUAGGAAUUCUACCACCAGAAUGACAUGGCAACUUUUUGAGUACUUGGCUGGCAGCAUCCAUACAUGUUUUGUAACCAGACGCUGGAGAACCAGCAUGUGAUGAGAGAGACCGGUGGUAAAUGGUUAUGCCUACCUUUGAGCCAUUCACACAUUUUUAUUACAUGCAAGAAUCUUUAGGGUGAAGAGCAAUUGACUGAGAUCGACUAGGUAAUCAAGAUUAUAAAUGAUAUUGGAAUUGGAUGAAAUUUCUACCACUGUUCCAAUGAACUACUGAUUUUAUCAUUGCUACCAGUUCUUUUCCGUGGGAAUAAUCAGAGCAGUGCACUCCAGAGAACUUGGUUUCAUAUAAAAGAUUUUAUUACUUCCCUUUGAGACUUGAAAUGAAGGAAAGUUUUGGGAAGAAUUCUUCAUCCCAUCCUCAAGGGCCAGUGGGAAUUUUCACACUGGUUGACAUGAACCACUAUCUGGAUCUCCUAUGAAUUUAUUCCUUCUUCUUGAAAGAAUUCCAGUGGGGGGGGCCCUGGGUAGCUCAGUUAAUUGUCUGCCUUCAGCUCGGGUCAUGAUCCCAGAGUCCUGGGAUCGAUUGAACGCCACAUCCAGCUCCCUGAUCAGUUGGAAGUAAGAUCGCAGUUGCAUGGAAUUCUUGCCACUUCACCAAAGAAUACCUGGUUUUGUCACUUUUACCAACUCCCUUAUCUGAGAAUAAACAAUGAUGGUCUCUCAAGGUAAUGAUGGAUCCUAGAAGGGAAGAAAAACUGUCUAUGCCUUUGCCUUUCUUGAAUGCCAUCUUCAAAGAGUGAGUUGACAAUUUAAGUCACUGGUUCUCCAUUGCUACCUGCGGCCUUUUGGACACCCUUGCAGAAGAUUACUUCUUGGGAACUCUUGGGAGUGAAUGAUACCAGUAAGUCCCUGAAACAAGACUCUUCAGACAAGGAGACUGUGGUCCAAGGGCCAUGCUUUGAAGGUGGUGACCACAAAUGUGAGGUGGAUUUGUUACUGAGGGUGCCAUUACUUCUACCACCAGCUUCAUCAAAAUAAUGAUACACUCUUCUUUAUGCUUGGCGAUUCCUCUCUUUCCUGUGUUGCAGUGGACACAUCCUGCAGAUAAGAAAUGCUUAACUGAGAAAUGCUCAUGUUGGGAUAUCAUCGAUGAGACUUUAAUUUGGGCAUGGUGACUGUUUCCCUUGCUGCCACUUGACUCAAUCCCAGGAGCCUCAGUAGAGGAAAUAUUAUUGCACAAGAAACUCAAAAUGGUGGAAUUGCUCAGUGCUCCCAUAAAUAUACAUUUAUAAUUUCCAUUUGCCAUAUGGUAAAAAAUUUAAAUAGGAUAUAUUAAAAAGAAACUGCACAUUUUUUUCUCAAAAAUUCAAAGCAUAUUUAAAUAUCUAAAAUAUAAAUUAAGUGCCCUCCUCUCUCCCAAUUCUUCCCCCAGAGUUUUCUUCUCUUAAGAGAGUUGUGUGCAUUCUUUAAGCGGAUAGAUGCACACACACAGACACACAGACAGCUAUUUUGGGGGGUUCUGGAAGUGGGGCCAUAUUGUACACAUUCUUCUGCAAAUUACCUUUCAUUUUACAGUUUUUAAUACCCUUUUCUAUUUCAGUAAUAUACAUCUGUGUCAUUUGUUGAAUGACUGCACAACUGUUUUGUAGAUGAAAUAUAAUUAAAUGUUAUAAGUAUUUCUCAUCCAUAGAUAUUUGUUAGCACAAAAUUUCUGUGCAAUGAACCUCCCUAUCAUUUUUUUUGCAUUUGUCUAUUAUAUCAUAAUAAAUUACUUAGCAGUUGAAAUACUGGGAUUAAGGAUAUGCACAUUUCAAAUUAUUACAAGAUCUCCUUAAAAUGUGGUAACAACUUUAUCUUCAAAUGGCAAUGAAUGAGAUUGCCAGCCUUCCCACAACUUCACAGAUAAUGGAUUUUAUAAAUGCUUAAAAUUUUUUGCAAAUGUGAUAGCCCAAACUAUUGUCUUAAAUUGUAUUUCUUUUGUUUUUGAGUUUGAUCAUUUUUUUCAUAUGUUUAUUAGCCAUCUGUAUUCUUUAAUUUCCUCUUUAUGUCCAAUUUUGGGGGUGGGGGUUUAGUCUUCUGAUUUUGAAGAAAUCAUUUAUUAUUGGGAAAAAAAGGUUUGGAUUGUCAAGCUUUACAGAUAUUUUUUAUGCACUUUUAAACUUCAUUUUUGUUAUAAGAAUGUGUAUGAUUGUUAUAUGUCCAAGUAUAACCAUGUUUGCUUUUAUGGCUUCUGAGUUUCAUGUCAUUUUGGAAAAUAUAUUUAUACUGAUUUCAUAAAACCGUUCACCUAUGUUAACUUUUAUUGUUUUGUCUUUCUUUUAUUCAAACUCUUAAACCAUGAGAAAUUUUUUUGAUUUGAAAUCUUAAAGUUGCCAAGUUAUUUGCCAUUACUUGCGAUUAUUUGCUAAUAAUUGCCCAUUUAUCUGUAAUGCCAUCUUGCCCAUGUGCUGUAUUCUCAUCUUUGACUGGCACCAUUUUUGUUCUGUGGAUCUGUGUGUCUCUUCUUCUGCCUCCUGUCUCAUGUGUCUUCUCGUUGGAAGAAAUUACAGUUUAGACUGUAAUUUCAUCAACUUUAAUAAAUUAAUUUAAGGGAGAAUUUG